ensembl:lncRNA
AAACAUUUCUUUUCCAUUCAGUUAGGAUAUGAUCGCAGUCAGGGUUGUGAGUUGGCCUUGCAUGCUGGGCUCACCAGUUGUACCUGGCUUCCAUUCCUGCUCUUUGGUUAUGCCUUUGUUCAGUUUCUCAGAAAUUCAGCUGAUGCUGGGCUUCGUUUGGUACAGGAACCACGUGUGUGGUGUUAGAGGACACCGUCUAGUGAUACAAUCAUCCUUCUGAGAGUAAAAACUACCUCUAGAUUGUGGUAAGCUUUUACUGUCCCAUAAAACAGGAGCCACAAGUACCUUAUGAAUGCAAAGCUGUUAACUUCCUGCAGUGUUUCCAUGCAGAACAUUGUCUUUGUGGUGUCCAGCGCUAUUUUGAACAAGUUUCCAUAGGUAGACUUUUUAAACAUCCUUGUAAGUAGCUUUUUUUUCCCCAGCUUUGCUAUCUUCUUCACUCAUUCUUUUGCUCAGACUAUGCCAUUGUAAAUACAAUUCCUAAUGUCUUUACAUCACUUUUUCCUCAGUUUUCAAGGGGGAAGUCAUUUGUAAAACAUGUUAGUGGUUAAAUCAAAGUCAUUGUGGUUUUCUCUUACUGCAAGCCUUUUUAAUUACUCACAGGCUGCAUUAUACUAUAUAUAGCCUUCUCUCUUCAAAUCUGCUCUAGUCACUAGCUUCUCUCCUGUGAGCUAAUCUUGCCUCACACUUUAAAUCUGUUUCAGUGAUGAAGGGCAGAAUUCAUUGUGGCCUUACCUGUCUUUGUUUUAACUGUUUACUGGCUUUUUCUUGCAAACUUGCUUAUUUUGGAGUAGUGGGUAUUCUUCUUCCCGUUGAGUCUCGGUGUUUCUGUUCAGAGCGUGGAAAUGUUUUCAGUGCUGCUUUACUUUUAAUGGGCCACAAGUUUCCUCCGCUUCCCAGGUUUGGUAUUUAGUUACGAAAUUCUAUUAAAUUAACUGAUAACAGAUGAGAUGCUUUUAAAGAACAAACUAUUCCUUACCCAGCUUUGCAGCUCAAAAUAAUUUUCAAGUUUAUGACUUUAUUAAAAUGAACUUUUGCUUUUUUACUGUUUAACUAUAUCUUAUUUGGCUCUUCAUUUCUUUUAAUAAGAUAAUUGAAAUGUUAGACUGUAAACCCUUUUCCUGUUUUUUAAAAGUCCAAGAAUGUACUUACACAGACAUUUCCCCUGCUAUUUUAUGCCAUUCUACAUACCACAAACUAAAGACUGAAAUGAUUUGUCUGUUGUAGUUUAUUGUUUAUCAGUAGUUCUUUUGUCAGCUGCUUAAAAAAAGUUUUCAUGGAUUUGUGAAUCACUUUCAGUGUAUAAUGUAUAGGAGCCUUGUCCUCCGGUUAUGGUAGAACACGGCCCCUCUCCCAAUGGUGGCAUUGUUAGAGAUGCUGGUCAUUUUCCCUCAUAAAGACCCUCUCAGAAUGAUAACCUCUUCAGUUAAAGUAUACUACAUUCAAGUGUUUUCUUCUUUUAAAUUCUGUUUUAGAAGUAUAUCUUAGGCUCUCAUGAUCCUAUGCAGUUUCUAAAAAUAUGCGUAGAAGCUGAGUCUGAUCCAGUAAGUUUUUAUUAGUUCCAUUGAAUUGAUCACGUAGAUUGGCCUUUAGUGCAAAAUACUCGUUUUAUUCUGAAUGAUUUUAGAGUUAAACACUAGUAUAAUAUUUAACCUGCUGCUGACUUCUUAAACUGUGGCAACUAAAGGCAUCCUCAUAUAUGUAUUAGUGAAAUAUUUGUCACCCUUACUCCACAGACUUAUUUGCAAUCAUAACUGGUUAGUUUGUUUUUUAAAUGAAACUGGUACCGUCUGUGCCCUCAGAGAAAAUUUCCAAUGCAGUUUUUGGGAACUAAACUAGUCAUGUUUAACCAGAUAAUCCAUAGGGAUGGAGGGGUCCUUUUUGAAACAAAAUGCUAUUCAGUUAUUAACCAAGUUACUUAUUUUUGGUUUCAAAAGCAGCUGUGUUUCUGAUGAGUACUGAACAAAUGUGUGUAAUUUUCUGUGCCAGACUUUUGACUUUGUUUUCAAGCACUGUAAUGUGGGAUGGAUGGUUAGAAACAAUAAUAUAUUAGGGUUUCUAUUUAACCCUUUCAGGACUGAACUGUAUCUCCUUUCAUUAAUUUGGCCCUGUGUCGUGAUAAAUGUUUGCCAGCAUUCAGUACUGUGUUGGUCCAGACGUAGGUUUAUAUGCUCAUUUUUAGCUUAUUUCUUGUACCUUGCAGCAUGCUGUACGCAUUCAGUCCUUAAGGGGUUUAUGUUACAAACUGUGCGCCUGUAAGGUUUAUUAGCAAUAAGAUAGAAAAUUGAGCAAGUUUAUACCAUAAUUUUGUAGAAAAAAGAAUCUGCUCAGUUCCAUAUUUCAUCCAUGAGAAACUUGCAAUAUGGGCAGUUUCAAGGAAUAAAUAAAAAGGAAAUGUAAACCAUUGU